rnacentral:lncRNA from 1 species
CCCUUUUCCCCUAUCAUAGUCUUUUAUCAGUCUAUUUCUGAAAAGCUCUUCAGCAGAAAAGAUGCUAGAAGUUUAUUAUUGUACUACAUAAAUCUCACUAUAUUAUUUAAGAUGCAAAAAAAAUGUUUCAAGUUGAACUACGGUAGGUCAAAUUGUAGUAGCUGAAGAGGCAUAUAUGUUGCACCCAUAAUAGCCGAAGUU